GGAGAAGGGAAAAGGUCCGUGGGUGACCUGCGGAAGGAUCAUUA
rnacentral:rRNA from 1 species